rnacentral:rRNA from 1 species
AACGUAGGUUCCGAGCGUUAUCCGGAUUUACUGGGCGUAAAGCGCGUUCAGGUGGUUUGGCAAGUCGGGCAUGAAAUCUCUCGGCUCAACCGGGAGAGGUUGUCCGAUACUUCCAGACUUGAGGGCAGUAGAGGGUGGUGGAAUUCCGGGUGUAGUGGUGAAAUGCGUAGAUAUCCGGAGGAACACCAGUGGCGAAAGCGGCCACCUGGACUGCACCUGACGCUGAGGAGCGAAAGUGUGGGGAGCGAACAGG